UGACCGAAGAAAAAUGUUAAAAAUAGAUUUUCGUUUAACAUAAUGGGCAGUACCGAAAAUUAUCUCAUGAUUCAAGCAUUUAGAGCAGUUCGAAAAAAUCUAACGGAAAGAGUAGAACUCACCAAAAAAAAAAUAAUUCUUUCAAUUGCACUCACCGACUUACCGAACGAGAAAUUAAACAAAAAAAGCCGUCAAAAUGUUUAAGCAACACUUAGAAAUGAUUGGUAGAAACGAAACACCAUCCAAAAAAGCCAAAUUCUGGCAGUCAUACAUCCGAUCACUAAAAGGAUCCGAUGACAUUCGUGCCCAUGAAGCACCGAAAACACGACCAACAUGGCGAUCGGAAGUGUCUCCCACAUUUAGAAGCAUCUAUGAUGAACCAGCAACAGCUUCCGAAAGAAUAUCUGGAGCUGGCUACCGUUAUCUACCAGUACAUCGUGAUACAUAUGGGUAUUCACCACGGGCUAUCUACACUCACCAUUACAACAGACCUGCCAGCAGUUAUGAAAACAAAACAUACGAUGCAGACAAGGCCUGGAACGAGCAUUUGGAACGCAUGAAAGAAAUCGAGCGCAGAUAUCCAUCUCGUUAUGGACUCUACUUAAAGGACAAGCCCAGCGCAGCUGUUGUGCCACUCGAAUACGAACCAGAGGAUAAACCAAUCCGUUCUGGACCGAGCAACAGAAAUGCACGGGCCACUAGUGUCCCACCACUGAAUGCACCAACUGUACGUGCAUCAAGCGUACCACCGCCACCAGAUCGUGGCCAGCGUGCUACGUCUUUAGCGCCGCUGGACCCGUUCUUAAGUGAGUAUGAACCGAAUGUACCCAGCUUAUCCCCAACACCUGUAAAGUUACGAAUCUGGGGUCCAAGGAAUUCCGAAGUGGCGUACGAUAAUGACGGAAGUCCCAUCUUUCGUCCUGGAUUCGCACCGUACAAUAGCUUAAACAACUUAUUGAAUCCACGAUCGGCAGCAUCUCCGUUCACCAAAGAUCCGUUUUGGUACGAUUUGGGAGAUUUGAAGCCAUUCGCUGGUCGUUCGCCGUUCAAGCGAGGAUUUGAUGACGGCUUCUGCAUCUAAAAUGUUACCAAUGUUAAUGUAAAGUAAAACGAAGUUUCCAAUUUGUAAACGCAAUUCUUCUAUAAUUUCAUAUUGCGUGCGAUUUCAGUAAGACGCUUUUUACCGCAAAGUGACUAUAUCAAGUGAAAAAAGGACCUCCGACCUCCGACAUUCAGUCAACAAACCAUUAA